AGCAGAGAUGCUUUGGUGCCUUCGGGAACUCUGAGACAGGUGCUGCAUGGCUGUCGUCAGCUCGUGUUGUGAAAUGUUGGGUUAAGUCCCGCAACGAGCGCAACCCUUAUCCUUUGUUGCCAGCGGCUCGGCCGGGAACUCAAAGGAGACUGCCGGUGAUAAACCGGAGGAAGGUGGGGAUGACGUCAAGUCAUCAUGGCCCUUACGGCCAGGGCUACACACGUGCUACAAUGGCGCAUACAAAGAGAAGCGACCUCGCGAGAGCAAGCGGACCUCACAAAGUGCGUCGUAGUCCGGAUUGGAGUCUGCAACUCGACUCCAUGAAGUCGGAAUCGCUAGUAAUCGUAGAUCAGAAUGCUACGGUGAAUACGUUCCCGGGCCUUGUACACACCGCCCGUCACACCAUGGGAGUGGGUUGCAAAAGAAGUAGGUAGCUUAACCUUCGGGAGGGCGCUUACCACUUUGUGAUUCAUGACUGGGGUGAAGUCGUAACAAGGUAAGCGUAGCGAG
rnacentral:rRNA from 1 species